rnacentral:rRNA from 1 species
UGCAAGUCGAACGAUGAACCACUUCGGUGGGGAUUAGUGGCGAACGGGUGAGUAACACGUGGGCAAUCUGCCCUUCACUCUGGGACAAGCCCUGGAAACGGGGUCUAAUACCGGAUAUCACUCCUGCAGGCAUCUGCGGGAGUCGAAAGCUCCGGCGGUGAAGGAUGAGCCCGCGGCCUAUCAGCUUGUUGGUGAGGUAGUGGCUCACCAAGGCGACGACGGGUAGCCGGCCUGAGAGGGCGACCGGCCACACUGGGACUGAGACACGGCCCAGACUCCUACGGGAGGCAGCAGUGGGGAAUAUUGCACAAUGGGCGAAAGCCUGAUGCAGCGACGCCGCGUGAGGGAUGACGGCCUUCGGGUUGUAAACCUCUUUCAGCAGGGAAGAAGCGAAAGUGACGGUACCUGCAGAAGAAGCGCCGGCUAACUACGUGCCAGCAGCCGCGGUAAUACGUAGGGCGCAAGCGUUGUCCGGAAUUAUUGGGCGUAAAGAGCUCGUAGGCGGCUUGUCACGUCGGGUGUGAAAGCCCGGGGCUUAACCCCGGGUCUGCAUUCGAUACGGGCUAGCUAGAGUGUGGUAGGGGAGAUCGGAAUUCCUGGUGUAGCGGUGAAAUGCGCAGAUAUCAGGAGGAACACCGGUGGCGAAGGCGGAUCUCUGGGCCAUUACUGACGCUGAGGAGCGAAAGCGUGGGGAGCGAACAGGAUUAGAUACCCUGGUAGUCCACGCCGUAAACGGUGGGAACUAGGUGUUGGCGACAUUCCACGUCGUCGGUGCCGCAGCUAACGCAUUA